GAUGAACGCUGGCGGCGUGCCUAAUACAUGCCAGUCGAGCGAACAGACGAGGAGCUUGCUCCUCUGACGUUAGCGGCGGACGGGUGAGUAACACGUGGAUAACCUACCUAUAAGACUGGGAUAACUUCGGGAAACCGGAGCUAAUACCGGAUAAUAUAUUGAACCGCAUGGUUCAAUAGUGAAAGACGGUUUUGCUGUCACUUAUAGAUGGAUCCGCGCCGCAUUAGCUAGUUGGUAAGGUAACGGCUUACCAAGGCAACGAUGCGUAGCCGACCUGAGAGGGUGGGCGGCCACAAUGGAGCUGAGAAACGGGACAGACGAAUGCGGGAGGCAGCAGUGGGGAAUGGUCCGCAAUGGGCGAAAGCCUGAAGGAGCAAGUAAGCAGGAGUGAUGAAGGUAUUCGGAACGUAAAACCCUGUUAAUGGGGAAGAAAAAAUGUGUAAGUAACUAUGCACGGCUUGACGGUACCUAAUAAGAAAGCAACGGAUAACUACGUG
rnacentral:rRNA from 1 species